UUUCUACUCCCUCUGUCCGAAAAUACUUGUCAUCAAAAUGGAUAAAAAGAGAUGUAUCUAAAACUAAAAUACAUCUAGAUACAUUUCCUUUUAUCCAUUUUGAUGACAAGUAUUUCCGGACGGAGGGAGUAUUUG
rnacentral:pre_miRNA from 1 species